AGGGUUUGAUCAUGGCUCAGGAUGAACGCUGGCGGCGUGCCUAAUACAUGCAAGUCGAGCGAACGGACGAGAAGCUUGCUUCUCUGAUGUUAGCGGCGGACGGGUGAGUAACACGUGGAUAACCUACCUAUAAGACUGGGAUAACUUCGGGAAACCGGAGCUAAUACCGGAUAAUAUUUUGAACCGCAUGGUUCAAAAGUGAAAGACGGUCUUGCUGUCACUUAUAGAUGGAUCCGCGCUGCAUUAGCUAGUUGGUAAGGUAACGGCUUACCAAGGCAACGAUGCAUAGCCGACCUGAGAGGGUGAUCGGCCACACUGGAACUGAGACACGGUCCAGACUCCUACGGGAGGCAGCAGUAGGGAAUCUUCCGCAAUGGGCGAAAGCCUGACGGAGCAACGCCGCGUGAGUGAUGAAGGUCUUCGGAUCGUAAAACUCUGUUAUUAGGGAAGAACAUAUGUGUAAGUAACUGUGCACAUCUUGACGGUACCUAAUCAGAAAGCCACGGCUAACUACGUGCCAGCAGCCGCGGUAAUACGUAGGUGGCAAGCGUUAUCCGGAAUUAUUGGGCGUAAAGCGCGCGUAGGCGGUUUUUUAAGUCUGAUGUGAAAGCCCACGGCUCAACCGUGGAGGGUCAUUGGAAACUGGAAAACUUGAGUGCAGAAGAGGAAAGUGGAAUUCCAUGUGUAGCGGUGAAAUGCGCAGAGAUAUGGAGGAACACCAGUGGCGAAGGCGACUUUCUGGUCUGUAACUGACGCUGAUGUGCGAAAGCGUGGGGAUCAAACAGGAUUAGAUACCCUGGUAGUCCACGCCGUAAACGAUGAGUGCUAAGUGUUAGGGGGUUUCCGCCCCUUAGUGCUGCAGCUAACGCAUUAAGCACUCCGCCUGGGGAGUACGACCGCAAGGUUGAAACUCAAAGGAAUUGACGGGGACCCGCACAAGCGGUGGAGCAUGUGGUUUAAUUCGAAGCAACGCGAAGAACCUUACCAAAUCUUGACAUCCUUUGACAACUCUAGAGAUAGAGCCUUCCCCUUCGGGGGACAAAGUGACAGGUGGUGCAUGGUUGUCGUCAGCUCGUGUCGUGAGAUGUUGGGUUAAGUCCCGCAACGAGCGCAACCCUUAAGCUUAGUUGCCAUCAUUAAGUUGGGCACUCUAAGUUGACUGCCGGUGACAAACCGGAGGAAGGUGGGGAUGACGUCAAAUCAUCAUGCCCCUUAUGAUUUGGGCUACACACGUGCUACAAUGGACAAUACAAAGGGCAGCGAAACCGCGAGGUCAAGCAAAUCCCAUAAAGUUGUUCUCAGUUCGGAUUGUAGUCUGCAACUCGACUACAUGAAGCUGGAAUCGCUAGUAAUCGUAGAUCAGCAUGCUACGGUGAAUACGUUCCCGGGUCUUGUACACACCGCCCGUCACACCACGAGAGUUUGUAACACCCGAAGCCGGUGGAGUAACCUUUUAGGAGCUAGCCGUCGAAGGUGGGACAAAUGAUUGGGGUGAAGUCGUAACAAGGUAACC
rnacentral:rRNA from 2 species